UACCAGCUCUCCGAGUGGUAGGGAUGUCUAUUGGGCUUAAAGCGUCCGUAGCCGGCUUAGCAAGUCUCCUGUUAAAUUCAGCGACCUAAUCGUUGAGCCGCGGGAGAUACUACUAGGCUAGGAGGCGGGAGAGGUCAACGGUACUUCCGGGGUAGGGGUGAAAUCCUAUAAUCCCGGGAGGACCACCAGUGGCGAAGGCUGUUGACUAGAACGCGCUCGACGGUGAGGGACGAAAGCUGGGGGAGCGAACCGGAUUAGAUACCCGGGUAGUCCCAGCUGUAAACGAUGCGAGCUAGGUGUUGGGGUGGCUACGUGCCACUUCAGUGCCGCAGGGAAGCCAUUAAGCUCGCCGCCUGGGGAGUACGGCCGCAAGGCUGAAACUUAAAGGAAUUGGCGGGGGAGCACCACAAGGCGUGAAGCUUGCGGUUC
rnacentral:rRNA from 1 species